rnacentral:lncRNA from 1 species
UGUCGGGAAGGGAAAUGGGGAGUUAAAGGGAAAAAAAAAGUUGUUGUUGUUUUUUUUUUUUCAUAUCAGUGGAAGCCUUCAGAAGUUGUUUUUUUUUUUUUUUUUUUUUUUUUUAGUCUAAGCUUAGGAGGAUUACAGAUGGCAUGGAACUGGAUUAUAAUUUAUAGGGAGAAAAACAAAUAAACAGGGACAGCAGAGGGAGAUUAUAAUACAUAAGUACUCUGGAUUGAAUUUACUGUCACCCCAUCCCUUUUGGGCUUGGUCAGCCUCUUCCCCUCCUUCAGAUGUCAGAACCCUAAAUCCAGACAGAUACCUGAAGCCUAAGGACUACGGGGAACUAGAGCAUGGAACAGAUUAU